UACGGAGGAUGCGAGCGUUAUCCGGAUUUAUUGGGUUUAAAGGGUGCGUAGGCGGGCUUUUAAGUCAGCGGUAAAAAUUCGGGGCUCAACCCCGUCUGGCCGUUGAAACUGGGGGCCUUGAGUGGGCGAGAAGAAGGCGGAAUGCGUGGUGUAGCGGUGAAAUGCAUAGAUAUCACGCAGAACCCCGAUUGCGAAGGCAGCCUUCCGGCGCCCUGCUGACGCUGAGGCACGAAAGUGCGGGGAUCGAACAGG
rnacentral:rRNA from 1 species